rnacentral:rRNA from 1 species
GAUGAACGCUGGCGGCGUGCCUAAUACAUGCAAGUCGAGCGAACAGAUGAGGAGCUUGCUCCUCUGACGUUAGCGGCGGACGGGUGAGUAACACGUGGAUAACCUACCUAUAAGACUGGGAUAACUUCGGGAAACCGGAGCUAAUACCGGAUAAUAUAUUGAACCGCAUGGUUCAAUAGUGAAAGACGGUUUUGCUGUCACUUAUAGAUGGAUCCGCGCCGCAUUAGCUAGUUGGUAAGGUAACGGCUUACCAAGGCGACGAUGCGUAGCCGACCUGAGAGGGUGAUCGGCCACACUGGAACUAAGACACGGUCCAGACUCCUACGGGAGGCAGCAGUAGGGAAUCUUCCGCAAUGGGCGAAAGCCUGACGGAGCAACGCCGCGUGAGUGAUGAAGGUCUUCGGAUCGUAAAACUCUGUUAUUAGGGAAGAACAAAUGUGUAAGUAACUAUGCACGUCUUGACGGUACCUAAUCAGAAAGCCACGGCUAACUACGUG